rnacentral:rRNA from 1 species
CUUGACCGCUGGCGGCAGGCCUAACACAUGCAAGUCGAGCGAGCGGCGGACGGGUGAGUAAUGUCUGGGAAACUGCCUGAUGGAGGGGGAUAACUACUGGAAACGGUAGCUAAUACCGCAUACCAUCAGAUGUGCCCAGAUGGGAUUAGCUAGUAGGUGGGGUCCCGGCUCACCUAGGCGACGAUCCCUAGCUGGUCUGAGAGGAUGACCAGCCAUACUGGGACUGAGACACAGUCCGGACUCCUGCGGGAGGCAGCAGUGGGGAAGAUUGCACAAUGGGCGCAAGCCUGAUGCCGCCAUGCCGCGUGUGUGCAGAAGGCCUUCGGUUUGUAAAGCAUUUUCAGCGGGGAGGCGUUACCCGCAGAAGAAGCACCGGCUAACUCCGUGCCAGCCGCCGCGGUAAUUC